ensembl:lncRNA
AUGCAUUGUGUCUUUAUUAUAAAUGUGCUGCAGAAGUAUAAUAUUCCAAGUGUCAGCUUAUCUUUGCAAUUUGAAACUUCCAUCAUCAUACAUUACAAAAAAUCAAUAAAUAAACAAAAAGAAAACAGAACAUGCCAAUAACCACAAAGAUCAUAGAAGCCUGGUGGGAAUACAGUGGCUGUCUGGAGGGUAUCCAACAGCUUCAGCGCCUACAUCAGAUCUUAAUUACGUAAAGGUAACUCAUAUCCACUGGAGGAUUAGCACAAUAUCUGCAGAGUACAUCAACUGUAGAUUACAAUCAGUAAAUUUACAUUAUUAACAAAGGGGGGCGGGGAUGGUUUGUAUAUAUAUGCCGCAGUUGUCUCGACAGAAAACUAUCUGCAGGGCCAGAACUCAUGAUGAGACCCUUGAAGUCGCGGCAUUGGAAAAUCUGGGACACAGCAAAAUAAAGUUUUUAGUCACUUUAUCGAUUAAAUCACAGUGAAAACCACAAGUAGAUAAAGAUUAGAGGUUAGCGAAGGAUACACAGGAGAUAUUAGAACAACGAUAACAAACCCGGCUUUUAAAAUGAUGUUCUUCACACUAAAAUGCUACGACACUGCUACUUCAGAGCCCCCACCCAUGUCUGAUCUAGUGUUUCACAAACACCUACAACGAAAAGGUGCUGACUCAUCCAGGUGGGAAUCAACUACGGAGGGUAUUUUAUUUCUUUUUCUUUUUUUUUUAAGUAUAAUAUAAGAACAAUCUGUCUGCUUUCAAAGCUCGGGCUACCUGAGGCUACAGCCGCAUCUUUGACUAAACAAUCACAAGCUAUUUAAUUUGUUAACCAAAUAGUGAUGCCCGCACUGCCUUACAGCUGCCGCUCCGCUGCGGCGCAGCACUUCCAGAGUUUCAAAAUCAAUCCCUUACAAAGAUUAUCAAAAGACAGAUGGUGCGGCAUCACUGACUUCCCUGUAAAGUCUGUGUGUUUUGUUUUGUUUAAGCUUUAAUCACUACAGCGUGACUUUUUCCCUCCUUUCUCCAGCUCACAGUGGUUGCAGGUGUCGAGCAGAUACACAGUAUAGUUGCACAGAGCGAAAGCACAUCUCGAUGCUUCCCUCCACAUCAACUGGUGAGAAGUGAGGUCUUUGCAAAGCAAGAAACUUUUUUUUUUUAUCCCCUUGCUCUAAAUUCUUUUAUUUGGCACAUAUUUCCUCCUCGCUGUGUCGGCUGUGUCGACUGUGCCUCCGUAAUCCCCUUUUCCGUUUUAGCACCCACGGCUUGGUAAGCCCCGCUUUCAUCCUCCUUUUAGUCGGCCCGUACGCUCAAACACAAGAUAUCAUGGAGUCAUUUUGAGCCACGGAGCAAGAGACAGUCUGAAACAAGAGGACAUAACUGGGAUUCAAAGGGUUUCCUCUCUG